rnacentral:rRNA from 14 species
AGUGACAGUUUUUCAAAAACUUUUUCUUUUGUUCACUAAAAUUAUCUUCCUAAAAGCAUUUGACUGACCAGUGUCGGUUAAGGUAACUUAUUUGCUGCUCAAGUUAUGUCCUAUAUCCAGACAAACGUCAGCCGAAUCUAUGACGGUUCUAAGGUAGCUUAAUUCCUUGUCGGUUAGUUUCCGACCUGCAUCAAAGUUUGAACAAUUUACCUUAUGUCACACUUUAUUAUUGUGGAAUUUGUCUCUGUUGUCA